CCCAUUUUGAAAAUUUCCUUUUCCUUUUUUAAAAAUGGGCAAUAAAAAACUACAACAUAAACCGAGUGCUAAAAAGCACAACUUGACAAAUUACAGAUGCAUCUUCAUGUAGGCACAUUGCUACAGCUUCCCUGGUAAUGUGGAUUAUGAAUGAAAAUCAUGAAAAGAAUCAAGAUAUAGCUAUUCUCUUCAAAAUAUACAUACUGGUUCCGCCAUUGCUUGAUUAAAGGCCCUUCCCUUCAUCUUCAUUCAAAAUGCGGUUCCGGAAAUCAUUCACCAUGAGGGGCAACCCAUCUCUCAAAGAAAUUUUUGGCUCCCA
rnacentral:misc_RNA from 1 species